rnacentral:rRNA from 1 species
ACGAACGCUGACGGUGUGCUUUAGACAUGCAAGUCGAACGAGAAAGCCCUUCGGGUUAGUAAAGUGGCGAACGGGUGAGUAACACGUGGGCAAUCUGCCCCUCGCAGGGGGACAACCGGAGGAAACUCCGGCUAAUACCCCGUAAGUUCAAAGGGAGGCAUCUCUCUUCGAAGAAAGGUAGCUUCGGCCAUCCGGCGAGGGAUGAGCCCGCGGUGCAUUAGCUAGUUGGUGGGGUAACGGCCUACCAAGGCGACGAUGCAUAGCUGGUCUGAGAGGAUGAUCAGCCACACUGGGACUGAGACACGGCCCAGACUCCGUACGGGAGGCAGCA